rnacentral:rRNA from 2 species
GGAAUAAUUGUAUUUGGUACUAGUACAGCGUCGGCUAACUCUUGGACGAAGACAUGGUAGUUGAGCGAGGAAGCAGGAAUAUCUUUAACCAGUUGGGUCGACUUCUUAAUGAGGUAAAAGGAAUUGGUGAGCAUCAAGAAAGUGAAGACGCUAUAUAUUUUGCUAACUCCAGUCAUGAAGAUUGAGGUUGGUGUUCGGAAGAACGAGUCAACUAUGGGGAAUGGAGGGGAGACGAAAGAAAUGCCAGCAGUCGCGGUUACAUUUACUUUCCUCCAGUUUGAUGAAGGCGGCUUAAAAGAUGGAUAGCCAAUGGUAAAAAGACGUAAAGGAAGAUUAACAUGGAGGGUCCCAUCUUACAAUGUUAACAGGACUUUUCAGGGAGGUGAACCAUGUAACCGGGAUAGAGGACCGGGAUUAGGUACCCCGUUACUCCCGGUGUGAAGCACAGCGAACAAUACAAUUUACUUAUGCUUGCCGGGCGACUACGCCCUAACAGGUAAAAGUCGAAGUAUUUGGCGGUCUAGAGAUGAACCAGCCUAUGAGACUUGACGGUUAAUCCGAUGGUCCGCGUAAAUUCUACUCUUUUUUGUAUUCUCAGUUGGUGUAUGGCCGUUUUAGAGUACUGCCAGUGAGGGGGAUGCGUAAUCCAUUAGUUUUUAAAUUUUUUAAGAAAAGGUAAGAAACAGUGGAGUAAGACAGGUCGUCAUGCUGCCAAUGAAGGAGGCUUUGUUGAGUCACAUUGAUUAGAUCUAUGCAGAACCAAGAAGGAAGGAGCUUGGGGAAGAAGUAAUGGGUAGUAAAAAGAGAAUAAUUCGCUCUC